rnacentral:misc_RNA from 1 species
CGUAUUUUAAAAUGUUUCUAGUAGUAUUACUACACCAAAGUCUUUCUUAACCAAAUUUCUUAACCAAAAUACUACUAGAAAACAUAGCAGUAUUUACUACACCAAAGUCUUCAAAUUGAACUUCUUAACCAAACUUAAACGUCUUAACCAAACAUUAGGGUCUUUUAUAUACGUGGAAUACUUAACCAAACAAUUUCUUAAAUCAUUUUGUUGCGUUUUGGCUUUUGUGGCAUAUUCCAUUUUUUUGACUUCUUCUUCAUUGCUGCUGCAGCAGCACGAGCAGCUUCGGCUUCAGCAGCCUGGGCGGCAGCCUGGGCAGCUUUAGCAGCUGCUUUGUCUUCUCUAUUCUGCUUAAAUCAAUAUAAAACAAAUACAUUAAUAGAUUUAUGACAUUUUCCAAGAAUUAUGUUUUUACUAUAAUCUAGUCUAAUUCAUAACAUUUAACAGUACUUUAUAUGAAUCCUAUUGGUAAAUAAGUUGAAUGACAGUUUCUAAAGAGAUAACAUGAAAUAUUUUGUAGUUUUUUCUCAUUCACUCUCAAUGCAUACAAGCUAUAUGCAAGAUUUAUACAUACAUACUAAUUUAAUCAUGUGAAUGGCAAAUUUCUAGUUCAUUCACUCUGAAUUCACAAGAAAACUGAAUGGCAAAUUUCACACAUUAGAGGUGACAUUAGGACUUGGAAGUGAAGAGUUGAUCCUACAGGGCAAAAUUAUAUUUUUUAGUUUUUGUUCAUUCAUUGUCAAUGCAUACAACAGAUACAAGAUUUUUACAUUUUAAGGGCAGAGUUUAACAUGCAACAUCUAGAUUUGAAAUGCUUCUUAAUCCUAAAAAAACCCGAAUAACAGAUUCAUCGAUUUAAAGUCACAUUUAGAUAUGUAAUAUUUGUAUAAUUCAAUCCAAAGACAUCUAGUUUAUUUCUAAAUAAGGACUAUCUUUUAUUGCUACAUUGUAAAAUAAUGAGAAACAUAAUAAUAUUUUGUAUUUUUUGUUCAUUCACUUAAUAUGUACAACUUUCCCCCUACACAAAUUAGUUCUAAAAAUUGUUCUACAUACAAGCAUAGGUUGAAUGAAUUCUGUAUUGAUAUGCAUUAUAUUGCUAUCAUGUUUUAUUUUAUCCUUUCUGCAUCAUAAUUACAGUGUGACUAUCAAAACAAAUUGACAUUAUAGAUAUUCUGUUUAGAUGAUGUGUUGUCAUCUGUUUUAUCAUUAUCUCUAUGG